GGUAGCUGCUGUUGUUGCUGGCACUGUUAUUAUUGAAGCUGGAGAAGCAGGGCACUUGCUCAAGUGCAGUGGCGGCAGAGGUGGAGUUCAUGGUGGCAUGGA
rnacentral:pre_miRNA from 1 species